UUUUUAUGAGAGUUUGAUCCUGGCUCAGGACGAACGCUGGCGGCGUGCCUAAUACAUGCAAGUCGAACGCUUCUUUUUCCACCGGAGCUUGCUCCACCGGAAAAAGAGGAGUGGCGAACGGGUGAGUAACACGUGGGUAACCUGCCCAUCAGAAGGGGAUAACACUUGGAAACAGGUGCUAAUACCGUAUAACAAUC
rnacentral:rRNA from 1 species